GCCAGCAGCCAUAUCACCCUGCAGCUCUCAACUGCCUACCCACUGAAGCUAAGCAGGGUUGACCCUGGUCAGUACCUAGAUGGGAGCCCUCCUGGGAAGCUAUGGUUGCUGCUGGAA
rnacentral:rRNA from 1 species